CUAAAGUCUUUAACCA
rnacentral:tRNA from 1 species